UUCCGGUUGAUCCCGCCGGACCCCACUGCUAUCGAGGUGGGACUUGGCCAUGCUAGUCGAACGAACAGAACUAUGUCUGUAAGUGGCAUACUGCUCAGUAACACGUAGCUAACCUACCCUUAGGACGUCGAUAACCCCGAGAAAUUGGGGCUAAUAGGCGAUAGAUGUAUUGUCCUGAAAUGGUAAUAUGUCCAAAGGUAUCCCAUACAUGUUUGGUAUACGCCUAAGGAUGGGGCUGCGGCCGAUCAGGCUGUUGGUGAGGUAAUGGCUCACCAAACCUUUGACCGGUAUGGGCCAUGAAAGUGGUAGCCCAAAAAUGGACACUGAAACAAGGGUCCAGGCCCUACGGGGCGCAGCAGGCGCGAAACCUCCUCAAUGCACUAACGUGCGAAGGGGUUACCUCGAGUGCCACCUGAAGAAGGUGGCUUUUCCUUGGUCUAAAAAGCCUAGGGAAUAAAAGGAGGGCAAGACUGGUGUCAGCCGCCGCGGUAACACCAGCCCCUCGAGUGGUGGGGAUGAUUAUUUGGCCUAAAGCGUCCGUAGCCGGCCGGGUAAGUUUCCCGUUAAAUCCAGCGUCUCAAGCGUUGGACUGCGGGAAAUACUGCCUGGCUAGAGAGUGGGAGAGGUCAGCGGUAUUCUGGGGGGUAGGGGCGAAAUCCUUUGAUCCCCGGAGGACCACCAGUGGCGAAGGCUGCUGACUAGAACACGUCUGACGGUCAGGGACGAAAGCUGGGGUAGCGAACCGGAUUAGAUACCCGGGUAGUCCCAGCCGUAAACGAUGCAUGCUAGGUGUUGGGUUGGCCACGAGCCACCCC
rnacentral:rRNA from 1 species